UUAGGUGUUAAUUAAAAAUUAACUGGGCUUGUAGGUGAAGAUUGAUUAAUGUUAAUAAAAUCAUUUUUAUUGUUUAUUAUUUUAGUAUUGGAUAAAGAAAGAAUUUUAAGUGGGUUAGUGAAUUAGUACUGUGAGGGAAAAUUUGAAAUAUAAGAAAAUUUAUUUUAUGGUAAGUGGAUUUAGUUUAUCGUACCUUGUGUAUCAGGGUUCAUUAAAAAGUUCUUAAUGAGUUAAGUUUCCCGAUUUAAAGAGAGCUAAUUUGGUUUGUUGGUUAAUGUGGAAUAAUUAUCAAUGAGAUUAAAUUAGAGAUGAAAUGUUAUGCGUUCUUUAAGAUAUCUGGUUUUUUAAUAAAUGAAUUUAAUUCAGUUACUUAGCUUUAGUUGUUUUUGUAGAUUAAGAGUUUAUAGCUAAGUAAUAAGAAUUCGGGGGAUAAGCUUCGAAUUUAUGCUAAAAUAAAAGUUGUUGAAUUGAGGGGUUACUAGGCUUAGAGGUAGCCAUGUUUUAUAAGGGUGUUGUAACUUACUUUUAAACAAUAUUAUUUUAUUUGUAUUUAGUGGUGUAUUAAAAUGUUAGAUUUAAUUAUUAAGUUUUAGUAAUAAUGAUGGAAUUAGUAUAAUUAAGUUUGUUUAAAGUUGUUUAGAAGGUAAUUGAGAGGUUAUUAUAAGGAACUAGGCAAAUUAGUGCUCGCCUGUUUAACAAAAACAUGUCUUCUUGGGUUAAAAAUAUGAAGUCUGACCUGCCCACUGAAUAUGAAUUUUGAAGGGCCGCGGUAUUUUGACCGUGCAAAGGUAGCAUAAUCAUUAGUCUUUUAAUUGGAGGCUGGAAUGAAUGGUUGGACGAGGCACUGACUGUCUCAUUUUGAUUGAGGUUAAAAUUUAACAUUUGAGUGAAAAGGCUUAAAUGUUUUUAGAGGACGAGAAGACCCUAUAGAGCUUGAUAUUAAACUGUAUAUAAAUUAUUUAGAUGUUUAUGUUUUUUAUGGGGUUUAGUAUUUUAUUGGGGUGAUAGGAAGAUAAGAAAAACUCUUUUUGGUGAAGUUUGUACAUUGAUUUAUGAUUUAUUGAUCCGUUUAUAGCGAUUAUAAGACUAAGUUACCUUAGGGAUAACAGCGUAAUCUUUUUUGAGAGUUCUUAUCGACAAGAAGGGUUGCGACCUCGAUGUUGGAUUAAGGUGAAAUUUGGGUGUAGAUGUUCAAAUUUUUAGGUCUGUUCGACCUUUAAAUCCUUACAUGAUCUGAGUUCAGACCGGCGUAAGCCAGGUCGGUUUCUAUCCUUAGAAUAAGGAAAUAUUUUAGUACGAAAGGACCAAAUAUUUAAAUGAAAUUUUAAGUUAUGAUUAAAAUUAAUCUU
rnacentral:rRNA from 1 species